rnacentral:rRNA from 1 species
AUUGAACGCUGGCGGCAGGCCUAACACAUGCAAGUCGAGCGAGCGGCGGACGGGGGAGUAAUGUAUGGGGACUGCCCGAUAGAGGGGGAUAACUACUGGAAACGGUAGCUAAUACCGCAUACUAUCGGAUAACCCAUAUGGGAUUAGCUAGUAGGAUAGGUAAUUGCUCAACUAGGCGACGAUCACUAGCUGGUCUGAGAGGAUGAUAAGCCACACUGCGACUGAGACUCGGCCCAGACUCCUACGGAGGCAGCAGUGGUGAAUAUUGCACAAUGGGCGCAAGCCUGAUGCAGCCAUGCCGCGUGUAUGAAGAAGGCCCUAGGGUUGUAAAGUACUUUCCGUCGGGAGGCGUUACCGACAGAAGAAGCACCGGCUAACUCCGUGCCAGCAGCCGCGGUAAUUC